rnacentral:rRNA from 1 species
CGUAGGUGGCAAGCGUUGUCCGGAUUUAUUGGGUUUAAAGGGUGCGUAGGUGGCCCUGUAAGUCAGUGGUGAAAUAUCUCAGCUUAACUGAGAGGGUGCCAUUGAUACUGCAGGGCUUGAGUACAGAUGAGGUAGGCGGAAUUGACGGUGUAGCGGUGAAAUGCAUAGAUAUCGUCAAGAACACCGAUAGCGAAGGCAGCUUACCAAGCUGUAACUGACACUGAGGCACGAAAGUGUGGGGAUCAAACAGGAUUAGAUACCCUGGUAGCCCACACUGUAAACGUUGAUGACUCGAUGUUGGCGAUACACAGCCAGCGUCCAAGAGCAAUCGUUAAGUCAUCCCACCUGGGGAGUACGCCGGCAACGGUG